CUGAGGUUCAACCACGGGGUCAACCAUGGGGACAGUUCUACAAGACCAAGGACCUGGCCUCCAACCAGGGGGACGGCAUACAAAAAGGAGGGGGGGACAGAUUAAGAGAGACGCAGGAGACUGCACCCAGAUGCAAUGUGUGGGCCUGGUUUUGAUCUUGAUUGAAAUCCAUGGACCUUAAAAUGACAUUUUUGAGGAAAAUAAGGAAAUCGGAGCAGGGACUGUCAUUAGAUGACAUUAGGGGCUGUUAACAUUAUGAGGGGUGACAAUGAUAUUGAGGUUAUUUUGAAAAAUGUUCUAAGAGGUGAAAGAUGCAUUUUGAAAUGCUCGUGGGUGAAAUGAUAUCACGUCUGGAAUUUUCCUUCACAGGGGGCCUGCGGGUGGCUGUUGAGGCCGGGAGGGGCCCGGGAGGUCCCUGGGCAGCCCCCCCUGGUAAGUGCGUGGGGAAAGCUCUAUCCUCCCACCUCCACUCUCUCCUCCGCUCUCUCCUCCCUGCCCCACAUUCGGCCUGGAGAACAUCUGUUUGCAUCAGCACAGCUGUCCUGGCUCCCGUCCUGUUCCCCGCGCACCCAAAGGGAGGAAGGCGGCCCUGGGCUGGAAUCGGCCCUGCCUGAUUUGCAUUUGGCCCGGAGCCUGGUUCCCGGAGGCGCACCCUGAUUGCUUGUUACAAACCUUUGUCCCAGCGGCUUUGUGACCUGGGAACCUCCUGCUCUUCCCCGGCCCCAGGACUUCACUGCUGGCUUCCUUGGGGCAACAGUGGGUGGGGUGGAAUCUGCCCCUGAGUCGGGUGCAGACCUUGCCCCAAAGGCAGCAGCGGGGACAGCGAGCAGGCAGGGGAGGGCUGCCGGCCAUCGGCUCUGGGUCUUGAGCAGGUGUGCCCCACUGCUGAUGGGGUGUGGAGACCCCAGGGGCAGAUGCGGACCUCAGUGUGGUUGAGAUGACUCUUGUCGCCACACAUCUCAUCUUCCGCCUGAGAGUCACAGGCGUGGGCGGGGCGCUGUCCACACAGAGCAGGGGGCCCUGAGCCCCCCAGAGCAGGACCUGGACUCACGGUCUCUGGCCCAGCGCUGGGCCCAGAGCAGCCACCCCAGGAGGCCAAGCGGUUCCUGAUGGGGCUUAGACAUGGGCCAGUACCAGGGUGGAGGUGUAGAAAGGCAGGUUUUUGGCAAAACCAGAUUCCAGGGCUCCCCCUGGACCCGCAGAACCCAGCUCUCCCAAGACGCAGACUGUUUUCACCGGCUCCUGGGAGAGAGCGAGCGGCCUGGGGCUGGAGUCGGGAGUUCAGCACCACGGACAGAGCCCGGCCUCCCGCAGGCCUCCAGGCUCCUGCCGGGGCGAGAUCACUGUGUGUCCGUGUCCGUGACAGGCAAGGGCUGGGCCUGAUGGGGUGCGGAUGACCCUGUGGUCCUGGCUCCCGCGUGGUGUCGUCCUCAUCCCUGUUUCAGGAGUGACUUUCAGGGAGGCCAAGGUCCUGCUGUAGGUGUUGCUGACUCUACACAGAGGGGCUAUCUGGUGGACACCCCUUGAUUUAUGACUUUUAAGGGACCCCCAUACUGUGCAAGCAGCAAGGCAUGAAACCUGAGCCUGUGUGAGCAAAUGAGCCCCCAGACAUGGCCUGAGCCCCGACUGUUGUCUUGGGGAGCCGAAUUCAAACAGAAGAGAGCUUUAUUUACCUGGCCAGGGACUGUACCCACCCGGAGAGACUGAUGCUCCGUGGGAGAACAGCCUGGCCUGUGUCCUGGGAAUUUAAGGGUGGAAACCACAACUCAGGGGCCUUUCUUGGCAUCACGCCAGCAGGGAGCUUACAACUCAGUGAGCCGUGUCUCGGGUCCGAGCAGGUGCUCAACAACCGUGUCCCGAGUCUCAGGUGAGCGGGGCCAUGAUCCAUUUCAAAGUCACGCAGCCCCAUAGCUGUACUCAAACCCAGGACGGAGCUCACCACCACCACCACCAUAUCCUGAGUUGGGGACAUUCUGUGGGGCACAAAGUACAGACAAACAAUUUGUUUUUUUAAUAAGAAAACAACUUUCGUUUCUGGUUCUCAGAAGUGGGUCCUGCAGGUCCCUCAUCCCAGGAGCAGGUACAGGAAAACCAGGAUGGGGUCCAGAACAGCAGAGGUGGAGUCCCUACGGCCACACUUUUUGUCCAUAUAGCCACGGUGACUCCAUUCCCGAUGGCCCAGUGCAAGUGACUUUCUUGAUGCUCGCAGUUACCUGGUUCAGGGUCAUCUCACACGGGUAUCCACGAGCCUCGCAUUGACAUGAUCAAACUCAUACAGUUGUUGGACUGGAGCCCGUAACCUACCCUCUCACUGGCUUCGUUGGCUCGUUUACACCUCAACACUGGGUUCAAGGGCUGUGCUCGCAGCCAGGGCGCUGUGGGGACGAGUGAGCUCUAGCUGCUGCCCCAGGAGCCCCCAGUGUGUCAAGCACGGUCCACUGACUGCUAGGAAGGAGAGCGGCCUUGGAGAUGCCCCUCAGCAAGGGUGUGGCCUGGGGAGGCCGCCAGGCCCCGGGCUCCGGCGGUUGGCACAGAGGUGGGAGGAUCAGCGUGGCCUGUGCCCGGCUCAGAGCCCAGAGCCUGCCUCCUAAUCUGAGAAAUGAGAGCGCGCACCCCUCCCGCCAUCGCUCCAGGGCCGCUGGGAGGAGAGCGUCCCCUCCUUCCAGGCCGAGGACCCAGCACCGGCGUCCACCGUAGAUUCCCCAUUUUCUAAGGUCCUCGCACCCCACGCUUAGCGCCAGACGUGGCAAACGGGGUGGGUGGCGGCUGCCACCCGGCUCUUAUCCUGAGGAGUGAUGGCCUCUUUAGCUCUUCCUCCUGGGCCCCCAGCCGGACGUGUUUCCAGCGUCCCUUGCAGUGAGGGUGACCACUGGCUGGGUCCUGUGUGACGGGAUGGGCCAUCAGACCCUCUGGUGUUAGCAGGGGACCCUGGCUAGAGGGGGCGUGGCCUGGGCGGGUGGCGCUGCCGUGAGCACCGCACAGGAGUGGAACUUGCGCAGAGGGGCGCCCUUGGGUUUGGGGGUGUUCCUUACGGGGCUUCUGCUCCCCGGUGGCCACAAGCAGGACUUGCAGAGCUGGGGGGAGGAGCGGGAAGGACCUGAGCAGGCAGGAGACUGGGAGGUCUCUGGGGGGUGCAGUAUGGUUUAUUUCUAGAUUCUUCCGCGCUUAAUAACCCUACAGCCCCUGACCCGGAGUCCUCUGGCUCUGGCCUCAUAAUUUCUGCUCAAAUCUCUUGAAGUCCCAUCUCAGGUGACGACUCCCGCUCACUCCUUCCUCCUCAUUCUGGAUUUUAUUUCAAGGACCUCUGAGCAGGAGCCCGACCUGGGGUGGAAGUGGUGGGCGAACCUCCAGGCUGGGUGCCCUGCCUUCAGGGUAGAGAGCCCCCUGUGGCUCCAACCCCGGGACCCCAGCUUCGUUCAGAACCAGGGUGACGGCAACCUUGCAACCGACUGAGAUGACUCCUACUUCCCAGCGUGUCCUCGGUACCCGUCGUCUAUUGCCCACGCCUGUUUGCUCAAGGAUCUGCAGUCUGGUUCCCAGCCAAGACAGCUCGGCAGAAGCUGUGUCGCCUCUUGUGACUUCACCUGGGAAGUCAGGCAGCAUAACUCAUUAGAAGUCAGUAACCAAGGUGGCCCAGCCUCAAGGGGAAGAGAUUUAGACUUCCUCACUUAAAAAAAAAAUCUUAAAAUGCUGUUAAAAUAUGUAUACCAUAAAUUUGCUUUUUUUAUCAUGUUGAAGUGUUUAAUUCAGCAACAUUCAUUUAUAAGGUUGUGUGACCAUCACCAAAACCUCUUCUUAAUGUCUAAGUGGAAUGUUUUCAAGAUUCAUCCAUGUUGUAAGCAUAUCUCAGAGUUCCUCUCCUUUUUAUGACAGUAUAAUAUUUAACUAUUUGUCUAUUGAUGAUCAUUUGGGUUGUUGGCAUCUUUUGACACCUGUGAAUGACGUUGUGAACCUGGGUACAAAUAUCGAUCCUUGCUUUCAAUUCUUCAAGGUAUAUACCCAGCAGUGGAAUUAUUGGAUCGUAUAAUAAUUCUGUGUUUUAAGUUUUUUAGGGAACUCUGAUGGUAUUUCCAUAGCAGCUGCGCCAUUUUAUAUUCUCACAAGAAAAGCACAAGGGUUCCAAUUUCUCCACAUCCCACCAACACUUAUUCUCCACUGUGUGCGUGCUCAAUAUCCAUUGUAAUAGGUGUGAAAUGGUACCUCAUUGCAGUUUUGAUCCGUGUUUCCCUAGUGACGAGUGAUGUUGGCCAUAUUUUCACAUGCUGUUGGCCAUUUGCAUAUCUUCUUUGGAGAAAUGUCAGUCCAAGUCCUUUGCCGAGGUUUUAAUUGGGUUGUGUCGUCGGUGAAUCCCCAAUCUCCUUUAGCCAAGAUAGUCCAAAUACUACUUCUCUAGUUUUCUAUCCACCAGUCUCUGUUGAUGGACAUCCAGGCUGUUUUUCCAACAAUGCUACGGUGAGUUUUCUUGUACUCGUGUUAUUAUGUCCACACUGAGCAUAUUGGAAAAUAAAUUUCUCCUAGCAGAGGGAUUGAUGAAUUAAGAGAAGGUACAUUUAUCAUUUAGGUGGAUGCCAUCCAGCUGCCCUUGAGAGUGGUUGUACCAAUUUUUAUUCCCCAGUAGUUAUGUAAAAGAGCAAGACACAGCUUUAAAACUAACACAUAUGUUUUCAGCAUCAUGCCAAAGAUUUCGUCUUCCUUUGGGAUGCUAAUCUGACAUUUCCUAAUACCAAUUAAAACACUGGCCUAACAUUUCACUCUGUUAAGGGAUUUGCAACUUAAUUGCAUUUAUUCAUAAAGUAGAAUUAAUAUUGAAUAACUUGCCAUCAACAGAACUAAUUCUGACUCUGUGCUAUGUCAAAUCUAUUCAUGCUUUGUUUUUAAAUCCUCUCCCCGCCCCCCCCC